rnacentral:rRNA from 1 species
GGAUCAUUAAAGAGUUUAAUAAAACUCCUAAACCCCUGUGAACUUACUGGUGUUUGGCUCGCCAGAUAUAGUCUGGUCCGUAAGCAAAUCGACUGCCUGCCUGUGUAACAGGCAGGUAAGCUUUUGUCGCGGGGUCCCGGAUCAACCCGGGCUAGAUAGCCACUUAACUAUAUACUUUUUAUAAAAUCUGUGAACUUACUAGGUUGGAUUCUCACCAGAGAUAGUCUGGUUUCUGCUUCGCGGAUCGCCUACCCGUGACACCUGUCACAGGCAGGUAUGCUUCUGCCGCGGGUCCGUAAGUAAAUCAUCUGUUUCGCAAGGGACGGCGAUUUACCUGUGGAAGAGGUCCGCUAACUAUAUUCUUAGUAUAGUUUGUUCACUAGAUCAAACAUUCUGAAUAAAAACUUAAACUAGUUAAAACUUUCAACAACGGAUCUCUUGGUUCUGGCAUCGAUGAAGAACGCAGCGAAAUGCGAUAAGUAAUGUGAAUUGCAGAAUUCAGUGAAUCAUCGAAUCUUUGAACGCACAUUGCGCCCAUUAGUAUUCUAGUGGGCAUGCCUGUUCGAGCGUCAUUUCAACCCUUAAGCCCCUGUUGCUUAGCGUUGGGAGCCUACAGCCUGCUGUAGCUCCUUAAAGGUAGUGGCGGAGUCGGUUCACACUCUAGACGUAGUAAAAUCUUUAUCUCGCCUAUGGAUGAGCCGGCGCCUUGCCGUAAAACCCCUAAUCUUUCACAAGGUUGACCUCGGAUCAGGUAGGAAUACCCGCUGAACUUAAGCAUAUCAAUAAGCGGAGGAAAAGAAACCAACAGGGAUUGCCCUAGUAACGGCGAGUGAAGCGGCAACAGCUCAAAUUUGAAAUCUGGCCUUCGGGUCCGAGUUGUAAUUUGCAGAGGAUGCUUUGGGCGCGGUGCCUUCCGAGUUCCCUGGAACGGGACGCCUUAGAGGGUGAGAGCCCCGUACGGUUGGACACCAAGCCUCUGUAAAGCUCCUUCGACGAGUCGAGUAGUUUGGGAAUGCUGCUCUAAAUGGGAGGUAAAUUUCUUCUAAAGCUAAAUAUUGGCCAGAGACCGAUAGCGCACAAGUAGAGUGAUCGAAAGAUGAAAAGCACUUUGAAAAGAGGGUUAAAUAGCACGUGAAAUUGUUGAAAGGGAAGCGUUUGCGACCAGACCUUUUCCCAGCGGAUCAUCCGGUGUUCUCACCGGUGCACUUCGCUGGGUUGAGGCCAGCAUCGGUUUCCGCAGGGGGAUAAAAGCCUGGGGAACGUAGCUCCCUCGGGAGUGUUAUAGCCCCUCGCAUAAUACCCUUGCGGGGACCGAGGACCGC